rnacentral:lncRNA from 1 species
AUAUGUUAAUAAACAUUGAAAAUAUCAAAAUCAUAAUAUUGAAUUCUCAUUUCAAAUAACAAAACAUGCAUGAUGAGAUUUUAGGCUAAAAUCUCGCUUCGGAACGUUCAUUAAAAUACAAGUAUGCACGUAAUGAAUUUGUUUUAGUUGAAGCCAUUUUGUUAGAGUCAUACCAUCAUUUUUAUAAAUAAAAAAUUCAAUAAAAAAAACUUGAAAGUAUUUCUUAAAAGCGCUUUCAAGUUUUUCUAUCACAAAACCGAAAUAGUAUUUUUUGGGUCGAAUAAUUUGGAUCUAUUUAUAAUGGACUCAAUGACUCAUGGUGAAAGUGUGGCAAUUGGAGGACCCAUUGGCAUGUGAUGAUGCGACUCUCCAACACUUGUUCCACCUUUAAUUAUAUUUAAAUAUUCAAUCCAAUUUUCUCCGGAUGCAAGAGUUUUGUCAACAAAUUCAAAGAAGUUCGGUUUUGAAAUUGGUCACCAACAAAGUAGAAUCUUUUGUUCGAUUCGUCUCUAAAAAGUAAAAGAUGCAUAACAUAACAUGGUAGGUUCAGUUAUGAACAUUGUCAAUCUGCUUUUCUCUUGAUUUAAGGGAUUGCCCUCAAAUUGCGGAUACCUACUUUUGACUGCACCCUAAAAGCCAUUGGGUAUAAACCAUUCUUACUUGGGUUUUUCUACUUUCUUCAAACGAAUAACAUAAACUUUAUAAAGAAAAAAGAAUAUAUGACUCUUUUUUUGUUAACUAAAAUACUACUCUUCAGGAAUCCGUUUUUGUUCACCCCUAACCCAAGAAUUCUUUUCUAAUAAUUAAAAAAAUUGGUCUUAACCAAAGUUAUUGUGAUUUCUACGUGACAUUCUUUGAAUAGAAUAAUGAGCAUAUCCUAAAGUUAAUGAUGCUGAGUAAAAAUGCUUUUAAAUAUUUUAUGAAAACAAAAAACAAUUGAACGAAUUAAAAUACAACGUACCAUUUAUUUAUCCUA